rnacentral:rRNA from 1 species
AUUGAACGCUGGCGGCAGGCCUAACACAUGCAAGUCGAGCGGGGUUUUCGGACCUAGCGUCGGACGGGUGAGUAAUGCGUAGGAAGCUGCCCGAUAGAGGGGGAUACCAGUUGGAAACGACUGUUAAUACCGCAUAAUGUCUACGGACCAAAGUGUGGGACCUUCGGGCCACAUGCUAUCGGAUGCGCCUACGUGGGAUUAGCUAGUUGGUGAGGUAAUGGCUCACCAAGGCGACGAUCUCUAGCUGGUUUGAGAGGAUGAUCAGCCACACUGGAACCGAGACACGGUCCAGACUCCUACGGGAGGCAGCAGUGGGGAAUAUUGGACAAUGGGCGCAAGCCUGAUCCAGCCAUGCCGCGUGUGUGAAGAAGGCCUUCGGGUUGUAAAGCACUUUCAGCGAGGAGGAAGGGGUGUGUGUUAAUAGUACACACCUUUGACGUUACUCGCAGAAGAAGCACCGGCUAACUCUGUGCCAGCCGCCGCUGUAACAC